UGGGGAAUAUUGGACAAUGGGCGCAAGCCUGAUCCAGCCAUGCCGCGUGAGUGAUGAAGGCCCUAGGGGUGUAAAGCUCUUUCACCGGUGAAGAUAAUGACGGUAACCGGAGAAGAAGCCCCGGCUAACUUCGUGCCAGCAGCCGCGGUAAUACGAAGGGGGCUAGCGUUGUUCGGAUUUACUGGGCGUAAAGCGCACGUAGGCGGACUAUUAAGUCAGGGGUGAAAUCCCGGGGCUCAACCCCGGAACUGCCUUUGAUACUGGUAGUCUUGAGUUCGAGAGAGGUGAGUGGAAUUCCGAGUGUAGAGGUGAAAUUCGUAGAUAUUCGGAGGAACACCAGUGGCGAAGGCGGCUCACUGGCUCGAUACUGACGCUGGGGUGCGAAAGCGUGGGGAGCAAACAGG
rnacentral:rRNA from 1 species